rfam:Bat coronavirus HKT5-1, complete genome.
AGAGGCAUAAAUUGCCAAUUGAACGUAACAAGAGUCGAGGCGAUCGCUAGUGUUCUGGAAACCCCAUUACAUGAUGCAAUUGUCCACUCUUGCACAGAAUGGAAUCAUGUUUUACUUACAGUGCAAGAAGGUAAGUGAACCCAUUUAAUUGAUAGCUGUCAUUUUAGUAAAGUGUGUAGCUAUAGAGAGAAGUUUAAAGACUGUCACCUCUGCGAGAUUGCAAGUGAACAGUGCCCCCUGGGAAGAGCUCUAUAGUGUGAAAUGUAAAUAAAAACAGCUAUUAUUCAAUUAGAUUAGGCUUUUUAGAUGAUUUGC